ensembl:lncRNA
UGGGGGUAGUGCACUACUUCUGAGUCCCUAUGGGGGUAGUGCACUACUUCUGAGUCCCCCUAUGGGGAGUGCACUAUAUUGGGAAUAGGUACAUAAGAGCCAUGAGUGAGGAGGUACCGUUUAAACAAAAAUGUGUCUUUUAAAUGGCCCCCUAUUCCCUUUAUAGUGCACUACCCAUAGGGACUCUGGUCAAAAGUAGUGCACUAUGUAGGGAAUAGGGUGCCAAGUGCCAUAAAUAAGGAGAUACUAUGGCCUGCCUCCCAAAUGGCUCCCUAUGGGGCCCACUGUAAAGGGAAUAUAAUGCCAGUGUAGCCCACAGUAUCAUAGCAACAGGAUGGAUGCCAGUGUAGCCCACAGUAUCAUAGCAACAGGAAGGAUGCCAGCGUAGCCCACAGUUUCAUAGCAACAGGAAGGAUGCCAGCGUAGCCCACAGUUUCAUAGCAACAGGAUGGAUGCCAGUGUAGCCCACAGUUUCAUAGCAACAGGAUGGAUGCCAGUGUAGCCCACAGUUUCAUAGUAACAGGAUGGAUGCCAGUGUAGCCCACAGUUUCAUAGCAACAGGAUGGAUGCCAGUGUAGCCCACAGUUUCAUAGUAACAUGAUGGAUGCCAGUGUAGCCCACAGUUUCAUAGCAACAGGAUGGAUGCCAGUGUAGACCACAGUAUCAUAGCAACAGGAUGGAUGCCAGCGUAGCCCCCAGUAUCAUAGCAACGGGAAGGAUGCCAGCGUAGCCCGCAGUAUCAUAGCAACAGGCAGCCAUCUGUGAGCCAGACAAACCAAUGUCUUAAUGUGUGUGUGUCUCAAAAGGCUCACUAUUCCCUAUAUUAUAGUGAACUACUUUUGACCAGGGUCCGUAGAAAGCCCCAUAGAGCUCUGGUCAACAGCAGUGCACUAUAUAGGGAAUGGGUUACCAUUGGAGACGCAGACCAAGUUCUGUAUAAUAUUGGAUGGUUUCUCCUAAUGUCUUAAUUAAAGUGGUAUGUUUAAGCAAUAAGGCCAGAGGGGGUGUGGUAUAUGGCCAAUAAGGCCAGAGGGGGUGUGGUAUAUGGCCAAUAAGGCCAGAGGGGGUGUGGUAUAUGGCCA